rnacentral:sRNA from 1 species
UUGUUUACAGCACUUUAUAAGUAAAAUUAUGAUUAUUAUUAUUAUAAUAUGAAAUCGAUAAAAAACACAUAUAUUUGCAAAACCGGACUUUCCAACUUGUUAAAUACAAAAGUUGUCUUAGCUGUUCACUUUGCUCCGUAAUGCUUUAAAAUUACCACAUAAGUAUAAAAGAUGAAUAUGUUCAUCACGCAAAAAAAAAGUAAAUAAAUGCAGGAGAUAAAGAUACCAUUUCUUUUUUUUUUUUUGUAUUGUAGUUAUAAGGAGUAAUAUUUAGUGUUUCGUGUUUAAUUACACAUACAUAUUUGGCAAUUCCUGUCAGAUAUCUACCUAAUGUUUAUGAUUUUAUUACAUUGGCAAAAACUGUAAACACAGUUUUUGCGGUCGGAUGUCGCAGCCUGAUGGGAAAUUGUAAAUAGGGUAACUAAAAAGGUUAAAAACCUCUGAUCUAUCACAUUAAUUAUGUAAAAAUAAAGUCAUUUAUUUUUAAUUCUAGCCCAGGUUAGUGUACAGGUACAAGGUUAUGAUGACAAGAUCAAGUUGUUGGAAAUAGAGAAUGAUUCUUUUGCAUUUUGAUUCCAAUCAAUACAUUUCAACACUGUUCAUGAUAAUAAUUGUGAUUUGUGAAGGACUUCGUAGCGGGCCAACUCUAUCAAACAAA